CACCAGAGCACCUAUUAUGUUCCAGGUGGUAUUAUAAGAACUUGGGAGACAUCACCAAACAAAAUAGAAAAAUCCCUGCCCUUAUGGAGCUGACAUUCUAGUGGGGGCUUGGUUUUUCUCCUUGGGUACUGGGUUUGUUUUUCCAUGAUGAGCAUAUCCUAUGAUGCACUAUAGCACUCAAGCAAGAUGUCUGAAGCAAAGGAGGCCAAAGUAAUAAUUCAUGGAUUCAGCACACUUUCCUUUGUUGAAAACUGCUGCUUGUUCCCCCUCAAAGCUAUGUGAGAGGCUGUGUAGGAGAGAGUGGAGAGCAGGUAGCCUACUGGACCUACAGUUCACCAUUUCAGCCCUGUAAUUGACCAGCUGUGGGACCUCAGAUGCUGAAAGCAAAGUUCAUGUGGGAAAUGUUUGGCAAUAGCUGAUUUAUCCUCAGGGUAACAAUAUUCUAUAACUCCUUUGAUCUUGAGGCCUCUGUGAUGGAAAUGCUUGGAGAAAGGGAUUUUAAAGGGAGAUUCUGAAGUCCUUGGGAAAGUCCACAAGUGGAUGGGGCUUCAUAGCCAUGCCAACAAAUGACAUUGUCUAGGAAACAGUGAGUCAUGGCAUGCUGAGCUUAGAAUGGAGCCAACAGAAGGAACCUGGCCUCGGACACAGAAUCUUUUGGCUGCUGACCCAGAAGGACUGUGAAAGACUAACACUGUUUAGCAGAUUUUUCUUGAGUGUUUACUAUGUGUGAGGUGCCUGGGAUUCAGAUUCAGCUACUAUUGUUAAGAGGAAAUCAACCAGGAAGUCAGUUAAG